rnacentral:rRNA from 1 species
GGAGUUAGCCGGUGCUUCUUCUGUGAGUGAUGUCCUUCCUGCCGGCUAUUAACCCGCAGGCCUUCUUCCUCACUGAAAGUGCUUUACAACCCGAAGGCCUUCUUCACACACGCGGCAUGGCUGGAUCAGGGUUGCCCCCAUUGUCCAAUAUUCCCCACUGCUGCCUCCCGUAGGAGUCUGGGCCGUGUCUCAGUCCCAGUGUGGCUGAUCAUCCUCUCAGACCAGCUACGGAUCGUCGCCUUGGUGAGCCGUUACCUCACCAACCAGCUAAUCCGACAUAGGCUCAUCCGAUAGCGCGAGGCCCGAAGGUCCCCCGAUUUCCCCCGUAGGGCGUAUGCGGUAUUAGCCUGGGUUUCCCCAGGUUAUCCCCCACUACCGGGCAGAUUCCUAUGCAUUACUCACCCGUCCGCCGCUCGCCACCAGGGAGCAAGCUCCCCGUGCUGCCGCUCGACUUGCAUGUGUUAGGCCUGCCGCCAGCGUUCAAUCUGAGCCAUAAUCAAACUCUGA